AGUCGAGCGGACCGAAUGGGAGCUUGCUUUCGUUCGGUUAGCGGCGGACGGGUGAGUAACACGUGGGCAACCUGCCCGUAAGACCGGGAUAACUCCGGGAAACCGGAGCUAAUACCGGAUAACACCGAAGAUCGCAUGAUCUUUGGUUGAAAGGCGGCUUUGGCUGUCACUUACGGAUGGGCCCGCGGCGCAUUAGCUAGUUGGUGAGGUAACGGCUCACCAAGGCGACGAUGCGUAGCCGACCUGAGAGGGUGAUCGGCCACACUGGGACUGAGACACGGCCCAGACUCCUACGGGAGGCAGCAGUAGGGAAUCUUCCGCAAUGGACGAAAGUCUGACGGAGCAACGCCGCGUGAGCGAAGAAGGUCUUCGGAUUGUAAAGCUCUGUUGUUAGGGAAGAACAAGUACCGUUCGAAGAGGGCGGUACCGUGACGGUACCUAACGAGAAAGCCACGGCUAACUACGUGCCAGCAGCCGCGGUAAUACGUAGGUGGCAAGCGUUGUCCGGAAUUAUUGGGCGUAAAGCGCGCGCAGGCGG
rnacentral:rRNA from 1 species